rnacentral:rRNA from 1 species
AGGAUGAACGCUAGCGGCAGGCUUAACACAUGCAAGUCGAGGGGUAUAGUUCUUCGGAACUAGAGACCGGCGCACGGGUGCGUAACGCGUAUGCAAUCUACCUUUUGCAGAGGGAUAGCCCAGAGAAAUUUGGAUUAAUACCUCAUAGUAUGUGAGAAUGGCAUCAUUUUCACAUUAAAGUCACAACGGCAAAAGAUGAGCAUGCGUCCCAUUAGCUUGUUGGUAAGGUAACGGCUUACCAAGGCAACGAUGGGUAGGGGUCCUGAGAGGGAGAUCCCCCACACUGGUACUGAGACACGGACCAGACUCCUACGGGAGGCAGCAGUGAGGAAUAUUGGACAAUGGGCGCAAGCCUGAUCCAGCCAUGCCGCGUGCAGGAUGACGGUCCUAUGGAUUGUAAACUGCUUUUGUACAGGAAGAAACACUGGUUCGUGAACCAGCUUGACGGUACUGUAAGAAUAAGGAUCGGCUAACUCCGUG